AUGCACCCAGACAGACUGAGGAGACUUGACUGGAUUGAAAAUAUGACAACCACAAUCAAAGCCCAGAUGGAAACUGCUGUGAAUCAUAAGCUUCUGGAAACCAGGCUGUCUGAGCUAACACACAUCUACUUAUUCUACCUGUAUUCACACUCCUGACAAAUCCCCCUUAAGCAUCUUCUCCUGGGAAGCAGAUGGUCUGCACAGUGACCCAUACAGUAAGGAAGCUUAAGGCAGACACAAAGAACCAACCUGGGCUGAAGAUGGAAGUGGAAAUGAAGAUGGGACAUUAGAAUUAGAGUGCACAUCACUGGGCAGAAACUUGGACAACCCACUAAAACAUGACUUUCAUGGAUGUGGAACACUCAGAUGGUUUAUAGACUGCAAAUUAGGAACAAGAUGGGCCUAAGUAAAAAUGAUGGGAACUGUCUUCUCACAAUAACCCACAGGCAUUUAAAGAGGCGAGAGAUAUGGAUUUGUAGAAAACCACACAUAUUUGGGGCAAAAUAGGGGUCAUUCUCCAGAGGCUUUGAUCCGUUAGUUGGCAUUUCACAAAAGGCGGCCAGACCAUGUUGAUUUGACAACAGAGGUGCAAGCUGGGACCAAUUAAUUUAUAUUGCUUCAUGUGGGAAGGGCAGCAAGGCCUGAUAUGUCCAUUGCUAGUCUUAACAAAAAGUAUUUGUGCAAUGUUAAGAUAGUUUAUAUAGUUUAUGAAAUCAACAAGUGAUUUGAUCUUCUGAACACUCCUUGAAUAAGCUUUUUUGAAUUGCCCUGGUCAAUCCUUGUGACUUGUGUUUAAGUUCAGGACAGUAUAAAAUUUAAAAUCCAAGCUGUACUUUUUUUUUCUAAGAAUUUAAGCAUUGGGCUAAUUUUAGGCGUGAAGCUUUCGUUGACUCUAGAGUCAAUCAUGAAUGCCUCCCUUAGACCUUCUAGGAUGAUUGCUAAUUGGUUGAGACUCAUUACUUGGAGCUAUAAGCAUGGCUAAAAAGUAGCCCCAUCUGAGGAGAGCCUUCUUUGGCCACUUCAGCCUGGAAUUCAUUCCCUUUCUCUCAACACAUAAUAGGAUUUUGAUCAUUUAUUGGCAAACAAUCUGCUAAACUCGGGGGAAUCUCUGAGGCAGCCCAUGGAACAUACUGGACACAGAGAAUCUGGAUUUCCUAAGGCAUUAGUGUGCUUUGGGGCCACACCUAGAAGCCAUGCACCUCAAAUUCUGUGGUUUAAAAAGUUCAAUAAAUCAUCUCUAUCUAUCUGAGAUAGAGGAAUG
rnacentral:lncRNA from 13 species